AAGUCGUAACAAGGUUUCCGUAGGUGAACCUGCGGAAGGAUCAUUAAUGAAAUUAUAAUCCGGCGAGGGGAAAGGCGGAGAGUUGUAGCUGGCCUCCAGGGGCAUGUGCACGCUCUCUUCCGGACCUUUCGCCGUAUGGGCGCGGGGCGACCCGCGUCUUCAUAUACCUCUUCGUGUAGAAAGUCUUUGAAUGUUUUACCAUCAUCGAGUCGCGACUUCUAGGAGACGCGAUUCUUUGAGAAAAAAGUUAUUACAACUUUCAGCAACGGAUCUCUUGGCUCUC
rnacentral:misc_RNA from 1 species